CAGCCUGGGACCUGCAGCGGGGAGGGUGGGGGGCACAGAGCCCCUUCCCGAGCUGCGUGUCCGAGGAUGGGGCCCUUCCUGGGAUGUGGUAACCGGAGGAGAAGGAGGGGGACGGGGGGGGGUGUCACCGUCCUCAGCGCCUGUGCCACGGGGACCUUGCAUCGCUGGGCUGGACGUGCCGCACUGCUGCUCCCGGGAAAAACCUGACCCGGGAAAAAGAACCAAAGGAGGCUUUGAUCACCCCGUCCCAGCCCAACGCGGAGAAGCCACGUGCGGGAACCCCGCUGCCGUCACCCGUGGGCGACAGCAGGGCUGGGGACGAGGCAGGGCUGGGGACAAGGCUGGGUGCCUGGGCUUUGCUGUGGUGGGUGCGGGGGGGACCCUCUCCCCUCGUUCCCCACUGCGCAGCCCUUCCAGACAGCCCUGUGUCUGCUCCGCUGUUGAAACCUGGGGGUUUUUCCCACCCUGUCCCCAGGCAAGCGGAGCGGGGUCCCAGCAUCCCGCAGCCUUUCCCAGCCUGGUUCCCCCCCCCCCCACCGGGCAAUUCCAGCUCUCACUGGGGAGCAGGAACACCCACGUCCCCAGACAGGGCCUGCCGUGCACACCGCGGUGUGCAGAACCCAAGCCGAAAAUAGGACAGACAUCAUCUGCAGGCCUAGAAACCCUGCCUGCGUGCGGGGCACGGAGGCUGAACCGCUGCGAUCACCGGCGAGCUCCCACGAUCUUCCCGGAGCUUUCCGGCACGGCUUGGCAUGGGUCGGCAUGGCUUGCCAUAGCUUGGCAUGGCUUGGUGCUUCCUCAUGGUCCCAGCAGCGCCCAGCGUGAGCCCCACAUUCAGCUCUUCUCCGGGGGCUGGUGGGCAGAAAGCAGAUAUUUAAUAAUGCAUGCAAUAAAACCAAUUCUUCUCAAUAAACCUGAUUUUUUUCAUC